UCGGCAUUGCAGAACCAAAAGACGGGGGGAAAGCGUCAUUUUCGUUGUUAUAGACGUUUUCUGGACAGGAUAAACUUUUCGAGCUUCUGGUUUUAAUUAGAAACCUUAUUUGAAAGCUAACAUUGGGUUUGCAGAUAAAUCCUGUCAAUGAUAGUCAGAUUUUCGGCACCAGGUGCUUGGAUUUUCGUUGUGGACCCUCUCAGACUAAGCGGCUUGGAUAUAGUUAAACACUUCAAAAGUUGAAAGGUGGAUCUGUUUGGAGAAAGGAUGGGACGUCAUAGAGCGUUUUAUUUAAGUAAUUGUGAACAGGAACCAAACAGGAAACUGUUGUUCAAAUAAGACAAGGAAUGCUGUGUAUAUCCAGCAAAGGCUGCAGUCUGCAACCUUCUUUUACUUAGUGUAGCCGUGAAUGCAGUGAUCACUGUCUUCCGUGUGAGCGAACUCCAUUUGAAAGCUUGACCCAGACGAGAGAGGUUCGCACUAACACACUGAUGCUGGCUAGAGUGGCAAAGGCGUGCAGCUCAAACGGUUGUUUUGUUUUGAGAAAACGGACCUGCAUCCACGCGUCUGUACUUUUCUCUUUGGACACAUAAUAAUAACAUGAAGAUCCACACAUCCGCAGCGACAGAAACCACAAGGAAAUCAGCGCAAACAAAAAGUCCUCCGCAAUGACGCGGCUGAGCUGAGACUGGGACAAGAGACAAAAGAGUUGAGGGACGCGACGUAGUAGAGGGUGUCGUGGUGUACACGCGCUGGUCAGCCAUGUCCAAGCUCUUGCAAGGUGCUCUUCUGCAGCAGGCGCCUUCCCACAGCGGAAGAAGCUGGCAGCAGGUGAGAGCGAGUCCCCCUAGAGACGCCGCCGGCACCGCAGACGCGGCCUGUCAGGAGUUGUGCGCGGAGAAGAAAAUGUUGGAAGUCAUUCAAGAUUUACCAGCGGCACCAGACUGGCAGACAACAAGCGGCCAGACCAGCGGGGAGCGCCACUUUGACUCGUGCGAGGACCUGUGCAAGGAGAAGGAUCGCAUGAUGGCAGUGCCUCGCGAGAUGACAUCACAGCAGUGGACGCCGGCGGAGGGUGAGAGCAGGGGUGACGGUCCGCCUGUGGCCGUGCUGACCAGCAUCCGGUGCCAGCUGUGCGGCUGCACUUUCUGCUGCGUGUGCAGCGCUGUGUCUUCGGUGCGCUCGCUGCGCAGCCAGUACUGGAGUCGCCCGCAGGACAGAUACAAGCUGCAGGUGUCUGUCAGCAUUCACGAGAAGAUCUCUGAUGUGGUCGUCCCAGGCCAGGAAGAUAUAUCAGCCCGAGAAGCUUUGCUGCUUUGGUCACGCCGCACAACAGAGGGCUAUCCAGGCGUAAAAAUCAAAGACUUUUCUUCUUCCUGGCGUGAUGGCAAAGCAUUCCUUUCUAUCAUCCAUAGAAAUAGGCCAGACCUUAUUGACUUCCGGCAAGCCCGCAGCAAUAGCAACAAACAGAACCUGGAACUGGCCUUCACUGUGGCAGAGAAAGAGUUUGGUGUCACAAGACUUCUUGAUCCAGAAGAUGUGGACGUUCCCAACCCUGAUGAGAAGUCCAUUCUUACUUAUGUCUCCUCUUUGUAUGAUGUUUUUCCCCAAGUGCCUAGUGUAGAACAGUCUCUAAGAGACAAUGAGCGACAGUUAAAGGUUGAGGAAUAUCGCGACCUGGCCUCUUCCUUGCUGAGAUGGCUUUCUGAUGUAACUGUUUUCAUGCAGAAUCGCACCUUCCCUGCCACCAAAAUGGAAAUGAAGGCACUACUGACAGAGUUUAACAAAUUCCGUUCAGAGGAUGUUCCUGUCAGGCUGGAAUCCAAAAGAAAGCUGAUGAGACUCUAUGAUGAAAUACAGUCCUUGACAUCUGACAUGUCACAGUUGGGUAUCUCAGAAGACAUUUCUCCCCCAAAUCUGGAACGUUUCUGGAACCGAUUCAUGCAAGCACAGCAAGAAAGGGACAUGGCACUUCAAGCUGAAAUAGUCAGGUUGGAACGACUAGCACGUAUGGCAGAAAAAAUUCAGAGGGAGAGUAAGCAAGCAGGUGAGAGCUUGCAUGACCUUGAAAGGCAGAUUCAGGAGGCAGAAGUAAGAGGCGACAAGCAGCACCCCUAUGAGGCCAAACACAACUGUGAUGCUAUGGACCGUGCAUUGCAUACCAUAGAGGAGAACUUGAGGGCCAUGUUCCGUGAUGUUCAAACUCUUCAGGAUAACCAUUUCCCCCAGUCUCAGCAGCUGUAUACCAGAAUAUCAGAACUGCAGUCCAGAGUGUCAUCUUUGCGAACAAGACUGUACAGUGGAGUGGUUCAGCCUUUGCUGUCCCGAGCAUAUGUUGAGGAGGGUCGCACAGUAACAAGACGCACAGAAAUAAUGACAGAAGUCAGGCUGGUUGACACAAAUCCUGCCUUCAGGCAUGUACAAGAUUGUCUUGACUGGAUUGAAGCACAGCAGCAAAUGAUAGUAGGCCAGGACUACAGCAGUGACCUACAACAGGUACAGGAACAACUCCGCACCCACCGCAAGACCCACCAAGAGGUCACCACAUUCCGUGCUCAGAUUGACAGAUGCAUUUCGGACAGAAAAAGUCUUUCAGCUGAGGAACAAAAGCUGUAUACACAAAAACUCUCCAGUGUUGAAGUAGCUUAUUCCCUUUUAUUGAAUACAUCCAGUCGACGUCUGAAGUUCCUGGAGUCACUGAGUGAAUUUCUCCAGGGGGCAACUGCAGAACUGACAUGGCUGGCAGAGCGUGAAGAGGUGGAGGUGACACGUGAUUGGGUCAGCAAAGACCUGAACCUCGCUGAUUUGGAUGACCAUCAUAAGAACUUGAUACGCCAAGUUGAAGCUCGGGAGCGACAUUUCAAUGCUGUUCAAGAGAAAGGUGGGGCCAUGAUCCUAGACAGGCAUCCAGCAGCCAGUAUGGUGGAGGUUCUCAUGGCAAGUCUGCAGGCUCGUUGGUCCUGGCUUUUGCAGCUCGUAACUUGUCUUGAUGCUCAUCUCAAGCACACCAUUGCUCACAACCAGUUUUUCGAAGAAGCUCGCCACUGUGAACAGUGGAUGGCAAGGCACACAGAGCUGCUUCAGAAUCGAUUUGCCCGUGACAACAUUCCAAUGGAGCAGGCUGAACUGCUUAUUCGUGAACUCCAGGAGCUGCAGGAGCAACUUCGAGAGUAUGAGCGACGAAUUGCAAGUCUUACCAUGUCGGCUCCCAGCAUCAUUCCUCUGUCUCUUCGUGCACAGCCAGUUCGUUCACCCCUGCGACUCCGAACACUGUGCUCUUGUCAUCUACCUGAGGUAAAUCUUCAAAGGGGAGAGGAAUGCUUCCUUAUUAGCAACAGCCAACUGGUCAAGUGGCGGAUCAAAACAUUGAAAGGAAUUGAAACUGAGUGCCCAUCAGUAUGUCUAUUGAUUCCACCUCCAAAUCAAGAUGCUAUCGACUAUGCAAACAGACUGAAGCGUCAGCAUGAUCACCUUUCAAACUUAUGGAAAAGUCAGCACCGCAAGCUGCGCUUCAGCACAAUUUUUGCAACCAUUGAGCAGAUUAAAGCCUGGGAUAUCAAAAAGUUUCUAGCCAUGGAUCCUUCACAACGAGAGAAUGUGUGGCGAGCGCUGAAGGAAGAUGGUGACAAGCUUAUUGCUGAAAGCAGCAAUUUACAGGAUCGCGAUUCUCGCCACCUGCAAGAAGCAAUGACUGAGUGUCAACAUAUUUUCCAGAAACUGUCUACUGAAGCAGCUGCUAAAGAAGGAAAGCGGAGUAUGACAGCAGCACAGACAAUGUUGCAGCAGCUGGAGACGGCAAAUCGUGAACUGACAAUCUGCGAUCAACAGAUCUCUGCCCUAGUGCACAAACCUUUGCCACAGAACAACUUGGGGGUGCAAGAUGCAUUUCGCAAAUAUAGGGAAUUCCAAGGUCGCUUUGAAACACAAGAAAAAGAGAUUGUGGUUCUUGAGAAAGGGUGCCAGAAACUCCACCCUCCAUCCACCCAGGUGGAGUCCAAAUUGAAACUGGUUAUCCAUAGGUCUCAGCAGAUACGUGCCAUCUCUCACAUAUACCUGGACAGAUUGAAGAGUUGUGAGGUGGUUGUUUCUGGCCUCGAUGAUGUGAAACAGAUGAUACAUGAUUACCAGCAUACUCUGGCUUCCCAAGAUAAUGCCACCUCAGAUCUAAGCUCUCUUAAACUGGCUCACACAGAACUCACAGAUGUGCAGACAUCCAUGAAGCAGCAGCAACCUCGAAUUGAACAUCUGAAAAGUGAUGUCAGCAGUCUGCGAGUUCUGGUGGAGAAAAGCCGAUCUGGUGUCACUAGUCAUCAUGAUCUGGACGCUGUGGAGAGAGAGGUGAUCAACCUAGCCAGUCAGUGGGCUACAGUCAGCUCCCAAGCUGCAGAGAGGCUGCAGAUGGUCAGAUCCAUUCAGGACUUGUUGUCCAUGUAUGAACAUGGUCUGGGGGCAGAAGAGCAGUGGCUAGAGCAGAUACAGAAGACUGUAGCCAGUCAACCACCGCUGACCGGUGAUGUGGUGGAUGCCAAGAAUCAGCUACAGACAACCAUGGCCAUCUACAACAGACUUGUGGAGCGGAAGCAUCAAAUAGAAGCUGUCAAUCGCCUGGGAGGGCAGUACAUCCGAGAGGCCAAGAUAUUUGAAAAGAAACAAACAAAAUACCGGCAAAGUGUGGAGUCUGCAGAUUCAAGCCCUGUUAUCUCAAAGAAACGCUCAAAGCAGAUAGAUGGAGCUGAAGUAGUGAAAAAUGAGUUGGACUCCCUUAAUCAAAGAUACAUGGAGAUGGUCUCUUGGACAGAUGCUCGCCUCAAACAAAUCAAUACAUCCCUGCUGCAAGCAGAUAUUGAUGUACAGAUUGGGGUUGAUGAGGACGUUCCACUUCUACGUACAUUCCGAGCAGAAUUGACCAAGCGUUCAUCCAUGUUAGUGGAUGAAGAUAUGCAAGAAUUCUUCAUGCACCUUCAUGAAUUUGAAGGCUAUGGCAGCCAGCCCUCUAACUACUUUGGGGUGCCUGGACAGACAUACAUUAGUCAGGUUACCAUUCGGCCCGAAACUACGGCUUCUGCAGAACUGUCUUUACCAGAACAGACAUUCCGCGUCAGCUUGUUAGGGUCAAACCAAGCACAAAAGCAGAAGGCUACAUCAGGCUCCCAUGCACUCACACAGUUGUCAGCAUCGCUGAAGGCUUUGCAAGAGUCUGCAAUUUCAAUAACCCCACAGUCGGUGGGAGCCACAACAGCCAGCAGUAGCUAUCAACAGACUAUGAUAACAAUCUCACCUACUACUGUUUCUCCUCGGGGUCAAGUGCUACAUGUCACAGCAGUGCUAAACCCAGUGACUUCUCAAAAGGUCACAUUGGUGGAAGCCCUACAUUCAGGUCUGAUUGACCCCCAGACUCAGAGUUACUGUGACCCAAGGUCAGGAAAGAAACUGGCACUGGCUCAGGCAGCCAAGCAAGGUUUUAUCGAUGAAGUUCUUCACCGACAGCUGACAUCACCCUCUGGUCUUCAUGAUCCAGUGAGUGGCCAGGAAAUGUCCCUGAUUGAAGCCAUUCAGCAAAAGUUAUACAUCCCCGAGACGAACAUGAUCAAGGACAGUGUGGCUGGUGAAAUUGUGCCUGUGAUGGAAGCACUAGCACGGGGCAUCAUUUCAGAGUCCUGCUCGCGAGUUCUUAUUGGGGAGGCAGUGAAUCUGACCUCAAUUACUCACACCCAGGCUCAUUUUGCUAAGAAUGAACCCCUCAACGUAGAGGUGUCAUUAAGUCUAGCCCAGGCUGUUGAGGAAGGACUAUACAAUGCCAAGACAGGCCAUCUUCAGGACCCAGUUUCCUGCAGAGACAUGACACUUCUGAGUGCCUUUGAACGAGGCUUCAUCAACCCUGCUUAUCAUGAAGUUCAAGACCCAACAACAGGACACUUUAUUACUCUUCUGGAGGCUGUAACUAAUCGGAUUGUAGAUCCAGAGAGGGGUGUUUUCAUCAGUGGCGCCUCCCAGCACCAGCUGCCUCUUGAUGAAGCUACAACACGAGGAUUUAUUCGGAAGCCUACCUCUCUCUCUGAUAUUGUAGACAGUGGCAGUCUGGCAGAAAAUGGCUUGGUCUAUGACACUUCUACUGGCCAGAUGAUUACAUUCCAAAAUGCUGUGGAUUCUGGUAUUCUAGAUGGAGACAAAAAGUGCAUUUUAGAUCCAUCUACCAGUGAAGCAUUGUCCAUCUCAGAAGCAAUCAAGAAAGGUCUUUUAACACCGCAGGGCAGUGUUAGAGUACCAAACUCCAACAAGGUACUCCCUGUGUUUGAAGCUCUGCAAAAAGGUGCAAUUAAGCUUGUGAAAGAGGAUAUUUCUUUUUCCAAAACUUCUGUCAAAGACAUGAAAUCUGACAAAAUGAUAACAAUAUCAGAGGCUCUGAAAAGUGGUGUCAUUACACCUGCUGGCAGGUUUUUAGAUAAGAAAACUGGAAGGGAGAUGAGCCUUCAGCAGGCUGUUGAAAAGGGGUUGAUAGAGAGGUCAGCAGCCCACGAACUGACCCGAACCACCAGUCUUUGUGAUGCCACUGGAAAGAACCUGUCCUUUUUGGAAGCAGUGCAGAAAGGACUGAUUGAUUCUGAGAAGGGUCUUGUGAAGAACAUUAAGACUGGCAUCAAAGUGACUUUCCAAGAGGCAUCUGCACAAGGUUUGGUGUCUGCUGAUGAUGCUAUAUCUCUCCUUGGCCUCAUUACUCCAGUCAUGACAUCUACAACCAUUUUGACUCAAAUCCAGCCUUCUCAUACAGGUGUUACUGUCACAUCAAUCUCAAUAGCAGAGGCCACCUCAAAGGGGUUGUUGGAUGAAAAGACUGGUUAUUUCCGAGACCCUGCCACUGGUAGAACCAUGCUGGUGGAGGAUGCUAUUCAGAAAGGUCUCCUUCGUCUGUCUUCAGAAUGGCCCACUCCAUCAGUUUUGCCAUUAGAAGUUAAUGAAACAGAUACGACACAAUCAGAUCAGAUAUCACAUUAUAUUUCUGAAACCUUUGUGACAGACAUGUCUGGGGGCAUUAAGAAGACUAUUCCGAUUGAACCUGGCUCAAAGAAGUUUGAAUCUGGCUACAUGACAAAAACAGACACUCACUUCGCCUUCACUACAACCACUUUGUCCAAACCAUUACAGAGCCUUUCUGUGAUAAGUGAAAAACGACAGGUCACGCUGCAGUCUGUGAUUGAUCCCAGAAGUGGCCAAGAACUGGAUGUCGAGGAAGCUUCUAGAAAAGGUUUAAUUGACCUUAGCAAAGGUUUGUACUGCAUUGCUGAAACAGGAGAGAGAAUACCACUGAAUGUUGCAAUUGAAAAGGGUUUUGUGAAGGCUGAGAAGACCAGCAAAGAUAUAAGUAGUGAGGAAAAGUUUCAAACCAUCAAGGAAACAAGAGCUUUCUCGAUCACUGGAAUUGUCCACCCAAAAAGUGGUGCAAGGUUGACAGUCAGCCAGGCCAUCCAGAACGGCAUCCUUGACCAGGAGAAAGGUGUGUAUUAUGGUCUGGAUGAGAUGGACAGGUAUACACCGAUGCCCAUCAGUGAAGCUAUAGGGAGGGGGCUUGUGAUAGCUGAGGAUAUUGGAACUUCAGUUGAAGGACCAUCCUCGUAUGUGCGAGAGACCAAAACAUUUAUAUUGAAGUCAGUUACACACCCUAUCACAAAGAAACAGCUGACCCUCCCAGAGGCCAUCACAGCAGGGGUCAUCAAGGAAUCUGAAGGCCUUUAUAUUAACCCCAUCACUGGUUCAAAAAUGCCAAUUCAUGAAGCUAUUGAGAAGGGUCUGAUUCUAGCAGAACUUACAUCAGUCUCUGCAGAAACUGAUGUGGACAUCAACAAGGUCACCACUACUAAACUGACAACAUUGUCAGUGACCGCUGUCAUUGACCCAAGGAAUGGCAAGAUCCUUCCAGUCUCCAAGGCCAUAGCUGAAGGAAUACUAGAUGAGGCAAAGGGUCUGUACGUCAACCCACAGACUGGAGAGACUAUAGCUCUGAAUGAUGCAAUUGACAAGAGAUUGAUUUUGGCAGAGUCUGUAGAAGCAAGAUCAGAUGAUGCCUUAGAUAAGGCAGAAAUCUCCAGCAUUCAUCUUGCUGAAGAGCAGGAGUCAUUUGAAGCCACUCUUUUGGAAGACAUCAGCACAGAGACUGUGACUCUUAGUAUUAACAGUGUUGUUGACCCCCACACUGGGAACACAGUGUCUUACGAGGAAGCUGUAGGAUUGGGGAUCCUCAACAUCAAGUCAGGCUCGUAUGUUAACCCUGUGACCAGAGAGACAAUGACCAUCACAUCAGCCAUGGAGAAGGGUUUUAUUCAGGGGGAGGUCACUUCCAAGACCAAGGAAUCAGACAUAAUGAGGAGCUCAGUCACAGCAGAACAUGUGCCAUUUCCUAUAGAUGGCAUCACUUCAGUCAUUGAACCAAACACCAAGAAGGAAAUCUCAUUGACGACAGCUUUGCAGAAAGGCAUCAUAGAUAAAGAACUGGGCAUAUAUAAGGAUAGCAAGACAGGCAGGAGCAUAAACCUCAAAGAUGCCUUGGAACAAGGCCUUGUUCAGCAGUCAAAACACUCAGAUGCUCAACAGCUGGAGAAGUCAAUGGAGGAAGAGGAGGUCCUAGAGGCUCAGAUGUUAACUCCCAGAUCCCCCUAUGAUCCUCAGAAACAGUGGUCUAAAGUUGACAUGGAGGUUGAAAAGACAGUAGCUACUGACCAGCCAGCUCCUUCACUGGUGUCCACUGAAGUCCUGCACUACUCAACAGACGUCGAAGACAAGAUGAGAUCACAACCACAGUCCCAAAAGGAACGUUCGUUGCUGCCUGAGGGACUUUCUUAUGAAGAAGCUAUUUCCCUUGGAAUUGUUAACAGCCAGACAGGCACUGUCAGAGAUCCAUCAUCAGGUAAAGUCAUGUCCCUUGACAAAGCCAUUGCUGCUGGCAUCAUCAGCUUAGACCGGCCAGCUGUAACUGACCUUACUACUCAGAAACCCUUGACCCUCGCAGAAUGCUUAGAUAGGCAUAUAAUUAAUCCAGUCACUGGAAAACUUGACUCUGAAAAAGCAGAAGCUCAGGGCAUCACCAGUAUGAAACAUCUCAAACAAAAUCUUCCAAUGAACCUUCUUGAUGCUGUGGCCAGUGGUUUAUUUGACCCAAAGACGGGGAAGUUUUUGGAACCAGUUUCUGGCCAGCACUAUUCACUACAGAGUGCAGUCAGUAAAAAUGUGAUAGAUGGCUCUCUGGUUACAGUUAGAUCAUCACAAAACAUGGAAAGACUUCCUCUGAAACAGGCUAUGCAUAAAAAUGUGAUUGAUGGAAAGACAGGUGAAGUCUUAGAUAAGUCCACCAACCGAAGGAUUCCAUUACCUCAGGCUAUUGAAGAAAGGCUAGUGGAAAAUGCUUUUGAUUUAGACUCUCAAAGCAUCAUUGACCCACGUAGUGGUCAGUCAGUUGCAUUGGACCAGGCCAUUUCAAAAGGCACACUGCGAUCAGAAAAUUUGACUGUACUGGACACAAGGACAGGAGAGCAUGUUUCUAUGGAUGUUGCUUAUCGUCGAGGUCUUGUGGACAGAAGUGGCAAUGUCCAGGACAAAAUGACUGGCCAAAAGACUUCUGCCCAAGAUGCACUGAAAAUGGGACUUCUUGCAGUGAUAGGUGCCCCAUUGGUGGCUGGUAAAGUGGUGGUGGAAGCCUUGCAGACCCACACUGACAAGCAUGGGGAAGAACUUUCUGGAACCAGAAAGGUGCAGCCAGUGAGUUCCAGAGUGACGGUAGAGGUUUCUUUAACGGAAGAAUCUACUCAGCCAGACAAACCAUUGACAACUAUUGUGUAUGCAGGACCUGGAGAUCAGAUCCGACCAGCAGCACCAAAGGUAAUGAUUGAGUCGAGCAGGGACGUCACACAAGAUGAAGGCAGUGUCACACAGAUUAGAAGCGAAGUUACACAAAUUAGAAAGGAAGUCACACAAAGUGGAAGCAAUGUUAAACAAAUCAGAAAUGUUGCGCAGCUUGAAAGCGCUAUCACUGAUAAACAGGGCAUGCCGGUGGUGAGAGAAGUAGUGGUUAAAUCAACAGAUGCCAUCACAGCCCCUUCAUCCCUGCCAUCAACAGCCAUCAACUCCUUGAAAUCACCAGCUCAGACUGUGCAGCAUACACCUUCAUAUGAUCGGGAUAGUGUGACUUCUGUCAAAACUGUCUCUGAAAAGACUUUUCUCCCCAAUUCUGUUUCUUCCAGCAGAACAGCUGAGAGUAGCCAAGAUGUGGACAUAGACUGGUCUUCCAGCUCUGUGACUGUCAAGUCUACAGGGCAGAAGAUGAGUGUUGCACAGGCAGUCCAGAAAGGGCUUUUAGACUCUGAUAUGGUCGAGCAGUUAGCUGUCAGCUCAGUGGGUUUGAAAACAGCUCCAGAGAUAAAGAUUGACUGGGACAAGGGAGAAAUCUCAGAUCUUGCUAUGAGCACGACGUACACCAUCGAUGAAGCUGUAACCAAAGGUCUGAUUGAUGAACCUACAGCCAUGGCUCUGAAAGCUGUAACUGAGGACAGUAGUGCAAGGUCUCCUUCCCAGAAAGGUGAUACAUCUGUAUCCUUCACUUCUAAGAUAACUAAAACUGUCAAAUCUGAGCAAAGAAUUUCUGGACCAGAAGGAAUAACACUCACCGAAAGGACUCCUGAAGCAUCAGUAAGGUUCAUUACAGUGGAGGAAGAAAAGCCAUACACACUGAAUGAUGCAGUCAAAGAUAAUGAGUAUGUACCUGAAACAGGACAGAUUCUUGAUCCCCAUUCUGGCAGACCUUUGACAGUUAUGGAAGCUUUGAACAAGGGAGUGAUUGAUGGGAAGUCCUCCAGCAUUGUGGAUCCAAAGACAGGUCAGAAGAUGGUGCUACAGCAAGCUAUUGAAAGUGGAAUCUUCAACCCUGUGACUGCUGAGCUAAUUCAUUCGGAUACCAAAGAGAAGAUAACUCUUCAGGAAGCCUGUUUUGAAGGUCUGAUUCCUGGAACCACAGACUCUGACCUACAGCCACGCAGUCCUGUUCGGCAGAAGGUGAUCAAGGUCACAGAUGCUAAAAUGACUUUACAAGAUGCUAUACAGCAAGGCCUAGUUGACCAAGAAAGUGGUACUUUUAGUGAUCGCUCAACAGGAGAUAUUAUUUCUCUGGCUGCUGCCAUUGAAUAUGGACUUAUUGCUGAUCCGGAAGCUAUACCUUCUGUCUUGGCAGAACCCAAACCAAGGGUGGCACAAGUCGAACGCACCCACAUUACACUUUCAGAGGAAAGACGUGUACUGAGAGAGAGGGCAAGCAAGCAGACAGAGCCAAGUCACCGACUGUCAUUUGCGGAAGCUUUGGAUAUGGGCUACAUAAACUUAGAACAACAGCAAUAUGUUGACCCUAAUUCUGGAAAGCGCAUGGCCAUCCUUGAUGCUGUGAGAAAUCAGAUUCUCGAUACAUCCACACCUUUAGAGAACCAGCAUACAGAGGGUAUGAGUAUCACAGCUGCUAUUGAGGAGGGUCUGUUUGAUGAACAGCAUGGCACCUUCCAAGAUCCAGGAACAGGGCAGAAGUUGACAUUCGAUGAAGCAAUCAGGACAGGUAGUCUCAGUGGAAAGUUCACAGUGUAUGAAGUAAAGACGGGAGAGAUCUUCAACUUGGAGGAGGGCCUGGAUGAAGGGAAACUUGAUCCCAAGACAGGCAAGUUUGUUGACAAGGAGAGGAACAAGACUAUGACACUUCAAGAAGCAGCAAAACUUGGUGCUCUUGCAAUUAUAGGAGCACCAGUUGCUGGAGCUGUAGCAGCCAAAGACACACUCACAGCCUUCUUUAGCAAAAAAAAACAGAAGGAUGAGAUUGAUCUAGCGCCACCAGGAAUUGUUUUUCAAGCAACAACUGUACAGCAAACUGCACCAAGUGUGUUGGAAGUAACUACAGAGCAGCAGAUGGUUCCAGAAACUGAGCGGCCUGAGGCCAUGAAUUUAAUGGAGGCAGUGUCGAGUGGUUCGCUCAAAACAAAAUCAGGAAUGUUUAGAGAUCCAGUAAAAGGCCAAGAAAUGACACUAAGCGAAGCUGUGCAGCAAGGUUUCAUCCGUGCAGGCUCUGCCACUAUAACUGAUCCCAAGACAGGCCAGAAAAAGAAUCUAAAUGAAGCUUUUGCAGAUGGCACCUUGGGAAAAACUGGGCGUUUGAAAGAUAAGACUGAUAAAGUGAAAAACUUGGACCAACUCAUUAUUGAUGGAACUGUACAGGAGUCAAACUUAAGUUUGCCUUCAGACACUUCUAGCAUUUUCUCUAAGACAACUGAAAAGAUUAAUGUGAGUUCUGUGGUUGACCCAAGAACUGGCCAGAACAUCACCUUACCUAAAGCCAUCCAAGAAAAAAUAGUGGAGCUUUAUGAUGGCACAUAUGUAGAUCCAGCUUCAGGGCAAAAGAUUGCCAUCACAGAGGCUUUAAACAAAGGUCUCAUUCAAGGCACUGUAGUGGACAGAGUCUCGACUAAAGAAGAAAAGACAAAAGCUGGGUUCACUGCUGAUGUUGCUUUUUCAGAAAGAAAAACGCUGAAAGUUCAUUCUGUGAAAGACCCACAGACGGGGUACAGCAUAUCUUUGAAAGAGGCAGUAGACAAGGGCAUAGUAGAUAAAGAAGGUAAGCAUUACACUGAUGUCACAGGACAGAAGAUGAGCAUGGAGACUGCUGUACAGAAACAGCUCAUUAAGGCAACACCAGUCGAGAGCGAGAUGAUCGCUGAAGAGAGAUACUUGAGAUCACAGCAGGACGUCAUUACUCAGACAACAUCCUUUCAAAUCAAGUCUGUUAUUGACCCUGCUACAAACCAGGAGUUAUCAGUCUCUCAAGCUGUUCAGCAAGGCAUACUCAACGUUGCUGCUGGGACCGUUAGUAAUCAGAGGACUGGUGAAAUGUUGUUGAUUGGGGAAGCUCUCAAGCAAGGAUUACUCAGGGGAAGGGAGACAAGUCCAAGCCAAGCAGAGCCUUUCCUUUGUGAAACUGAACAUGCAAGAGACAGUGUGUAUGAUCCUGAAAAAGAGGAGUACAUCAGUUGGAUGCAAGCUGUCAACAAAGGUAUCAUUGAUGUCACUGCUGGCAUGUAUCAUGUGUCACCAUCUGAAAGCAUAUCUGUCUCACAGGGUCAGAAGGAGGGCUUGAUUAAAACACAGGACAUUCAAGACGCUCUCAGACUUGAGGAGAAAAGAAAGUCAUACGACAUUCUGUCAGUGUAUGAUCCCAACAAAGGCAAGGACAUUUCUGUUACUGAAGCAGUUUCGAUAGGCCUUCUAGACCUGCAGAAAGGAACUUACAAUGACCCCUUAACUGGGAAGCCUGUACCAGUACAGGAAGCAUGUCAGAAAGGUGUCAUUAAAGGAUAUUCUGCCCACCCCAUUGCGACCAGGGCUCCAGUAAAGAUUGGAGAGCAUCUUGUAAAGUCUGCAGUUGACACACAAUCUGGAGAACUGAUAGGUGUUGUGGAUGCACUCAGGAGGGGCAUCCUAGAUCAAGGGGAUUGCACUUUCCUGAGUCUCAGCACUGGUCAGACCAUACCUGUGGCUGAAGCAGUCCAGCAAGGAUUAGUCAUUCUUGAGACAGAAGUAGCAGCCCCUGUUGUGACAUCUGUGGUGCAAAAGUCAAUGACCAUCACUGCAGUGGUAGAUCCAGCAAGUGGCGAUGAACUAUCCAUGGCUGAGGCUAUUGGUAGGGGUGUAUUUAAUCCAGAGAAAGGAGUAGUCAUUAACUCACACACAGGGGAACACAUUGAACUUGAUAAAGCUGUAGAUCUUGGUCUUAUCAGUGCUGAAGUAGUAGAAGGUCACAAACCUCAGGAGCUUGUAGUUAUCAAUGGAGUCGUCAUCAUGGAGACAAAAGAUCCUAGGACACAGGAAACAAUAUCCAUACGAGAGGCCAUAGAUCGUGGUUUCCUUGAUGAAAAGAAAGGCCUGUACUUUGAUCCCAUUUCAAACUCUUAUAUUCCUGUCAGAGAGGCUUUGAAACAAGGUCUUAUUGAAGGUAAGGAUGCAGUAGAUGGUGGUGUGUCAGAACAAAAGAAACAAGACGCCAAGCAGAUCAGUGUAAGCAAAGUACGAGACCCAGUUUCAGGAAGAGAAAUUGGCUUUGAAGAAGCUGUGGUGAAAGGCUUAGUUGAUCGCCAUUGCACAAUUUAUACAGAUACUGUUACUAAAGAAAAAAUGAACAUCGAAGAAGCUAUGAAGCAAGGUUUUGUAGCUGGUACCAUUCAAACAAUUACAAAAACCCAGACUACCAUCACCUCUAGAAAGCCGUUGGGCACUUACAACAUAACAGGUGUAAUGGAUACAAAGAGUGGAAAACAAAUUUCUGUGGAGGAAGCGGUUGACAAAGGCAUUCUGCAUCCAGAAGGUAAGCUUGUGGACACUUCAACUGGUCGACCAAUGCCCCUUGCAGAUGCUCUGAAGCUAGGUCUAGUUUACACUGAAAAAGUGGAUAAGGGACCAUUGGGGACUGGAACAACAUUUGUAGCUGACCAGAGAGAUCAGGCCUUGCGUUUCAAAGAUGCAAUGGAGAAAGGCUACAUUGAUUCCUCCACGGGGACUUUUUUAGACCCUGUCAGUGGCCGUCGAUACACUGUUGAUGAGGCUGUAAGAACAGGCUUACUUGUUUCCUCCUCUGGCAAGCCAUUUGAGUACAAAGGACUUGGCAAAGAGGGAUUGACAUACAGUUUUCAGAAUGCUCUUAUGAUGGGGCUGAUAGAACCCAGUAGCUGCUUGUUUGUGGAUAGCAUCUCUGGACGCCAGAUCUCUCUUGAGUCAGCUGUUAGCAAAGGUUACAUUUCUCCUAUUGCUGGCAAGUUUGGAGUGAAGACUAUGGGAGAAUCUGUUGUGAUUUUGAAAGGAGGUGUUUCCUCACCAGCUAUGUCACAGGUGGAAGAGUUCAUGGAUCCAAAGACUGGCGAAAAGCUCUCUAUGGCUGAUGCACAAAAGAGAGGGCUUGUUGAUGUGAAAGGCUCAGAUGAAAGGCUCAGCGUUGGAGAAGCUCUGCAGAGUGGGCUGGUGGAUAAAGACACUGGGCUUUUCCACGACCCAGUGUCAGGAGACAGCAUGUCAUUAGACGAAGCCCUUCUGUGUGGAUUUGUUACAUACGAUGAUACUGCCAAUGGCUAUGAUGAAGAGCAAGUGAAGAAUGUUGAGCACAUCCAAAAAGUUGCACCUGCACCUUUGUCCAUUUCUGAAGCUGUGGUGACAGGUUUGAUUGACACAGAUCAGGGAAAGUACACAGAUCCCAUCAGUGGGAAAUCAGUCUCUGUGGUACAAGCUCUGCAGCAUGGCAUCAUCAAACCCACUCUGUCUGUUGGAGAACCGAUCAUACAGGAUCUAGCCCAAACUGCAUCGCCCAAGCAGUAUGUACGGAUCACAGAGGGCUCACCUUUGGUGCCAAAGAAGGGCGUAAUCAUGAGUGAUGCUGGACAUGUGGUGUCUAGAACAUUUACUGAAGUCACCAUGACAACAGGCAGUGCCACCUACACAAGUAAGCCAGGAUUCUCCAUCAGCUCUACAGGGCAAGUGGUCAACAUGACCACUGGGGAAAAGAUGUCUAUUCCCGAUGCUGUAGCCGCUGGAAUUGUCGAGGCAGAAGUGGAAGAAGGAGCCAGCUCUGUCCAGGUAACAGCCAGUGAGACACCUUCUCCAGACAGAUCUUCAGCUUCUUCACCAUUUGUUAAAUACAAGACAUGCCCUGGAAAGGAAGAACAUAUCCUUGUUUCAAGGAUGACAGGUUUUCAGUAUGCAGUUAAAGAUGAAGUGGAUGCUACUUCACCAGCUCAUGGAAGUGAAACUGUUGAUUUACAAGAUGUGCAGUCUGUCCAGCAUCUUCAUCAAAAUGUGCAUACUAAAUUUAAUCUUGCCAAUGGACAGUGUGAAAAUAAAAAACUUGCUGCUGAUGAUGAUUUGCAGCGUUUCUCACGUAAUUUGCUUGAAUAUUUCUGGGAUGACCAUUUAGAGAAGUUGGUUCAUCCCAGAAAAGGGACCAAGCUAGGUGUACAGGAAGCUUUGGGAGUUUCAUUGAUUCCCAAAAAUAUAAGAGUUCAGCAGUUUCAUAAAGAUGAGCAUGUAGCUUUGACAGAUGCGUUAGCUUCAGGUCAGGUGGACAGGAAGUAUGGGAGGGUUGUCAGCAUGAAGGAUGGCAGCGUUUUAAGUCUCAAGGAAGCCAUUAAGAGAGAUGUAAUCUUUGUUGAAUCUUCUUCCUCCCUUGAUGCUCAUAGUGCAGCUCAGUCAUUGUCUGCUGUUAAGAAGGAAUUAGGUUGUGGGCUGUUUGAGCUGAUUGUGGCUAGAAAAGCUAGUAUGACUGUUAGGAUUAUGGACAGAAGGACUGGGAAAAAAUUCAAACUCCCAGAUGCUAUUGCACAUUCCAUCUUCAAUGCAGACACAGCUCACGUCAAAGACACUGUCUCAGGGAAGUGGUUUUCUUGGGAGGAUGGGCAAAGGGCAGGGGUCAUACAUGAUUCCAGAAAGCUUUCUCUGCAUCAGACACUAACAUCUCCCAUUUUCAAUCAGAAUCUCGAAGGCUUUCUUGAUCCAUCUGGUCUUGUCAGUAACCUGCUGACUCUAGAGGAAAUGCUUCAGCGAAACCUGGUGGAUGUCAGCAAGAAGGAAGUCUUUGAUACAGAAAUAGGAAAGUGGUUGACUAUGGAAGAAGCCAUCAGUGUAGGUGUUAUUGAUCCCAUCCAAAAUAAAUACUUCCACAAGAAGAUCGGCAAAAUCUUACCUUUGCCUGAUGCUCUUGAAGCAGGGCUGAUCUGUGAAGAUCCUGUAGAAGAAACAAGUACUUCAGACAAGUCAGAACAUCAUGUAAAUGGAAUCUCAAGAUCCCAUUCAGGGUCUUCCAUUUCUGAAGUUGAUUUAGAUGCAACAACUGUUUUUCCUUUGCCAGUUUACAAAGCAGUGUGCGAUGGAUUGAUCAAUUCACUUACUGGAGAUGUGAUCAUAUCUGACAAAAAAACCAUUCCUUUCAAACUAGCCUACGAGGAAAAGCUGUUGAAGGCAGAAGACACAUACAUUGUGGAUAGGUGUACUGGUGUUGUGUAUACUUUUAAAGAAGCAGCAAACUGUGGACUGGUGGAAGUCCCGACUGGUUCUGUCUUUGACACAUACACUGGUAAAAAGCUAUUGCUCCCAGAGGCCAGAGAGCAAGGACUUCUCAGAGACACUCCACAGCCACACCUUCCACUUGCAGUGGCAGCUGAGCUGGAGCUGUUUGAUUUUGAUGAACAGAGGAUUCUCCACCCACACUCAAGACAGCCUCUCUCACUGACCCAAGCCAUGACUGAGGGCAUCAUUGAUCCUGCUUCAAAGCUGACAACGCCAUCAGGAGACUUGACCACUCUUCAAGAGGUGAUAAAAGAAGGCCUGUUGAAUCUUGACACACUAACCCUCUCAUUCCCAGAUGGACGAUCAAUGUCUCUGAAAAAAAGUGUUGGUCUUGAAGAAGGCAAACAGCCAAACACUUAUGAGUUUGGUAGAAAGAAAAGUCUAACCCUUGAUGAAGCCAUCAGCUCUGGCUUGUAUGAUCCUGUGUCAAACUCGGUGAGAUCCAGCGAUAGCCUCAUCAGUUUUUCCAAAGCUUUGAAAUCUGGUUUGAUCAACACAGAUUCUUUAGUUAGGGAUCCCUAUAGUGGGGAUAUCCUUUCUCUAAAGGAAGCGUUGGACAAACGUAUCAUUGACUCAGAAUGUGGAAAAAUGAUUGACACCCACGGCAUUCCUGUGGCCUUAAACUUUGCCAUGGAAAAAGGGCUUAUCUUAAAAUCAAAAGCCCCUCUGAAUCUGUCACUUUCAGAGGCUUUGGACGAAGGCUUGUUCAAUGUUUUGUCAAACAGAUUUCUUAAUCCAGAUUCUAACGAAGAGGUUGAUUUUAUAACAGCAGUUGAUCAAGGUAUUCUUGAUACAGAGUUCAUCAGGGUUCGAGACACUCGAUCAGGAAGUAUAGUGACUUUUGAUGCUGCUGUUGAUCAAGGGCUCAUUGAUAUCCACCAAGGGUUCUGCAUAAAUGCAGAAGAUGGUGAAGAAUUCUCCAUUGUGGAUGGAAUGGACAAGGGCAUUAUCAUUGAUACGACUAGCCAACCAGCUGUUACUCUAGAGGAAGCACUGGAAGAAGGGAUUUUAGAGGUGGAGACUUGCACAUUUAAAGAUCCAUAUGGCCAGAUAUCUUUGACCUUGAAAGAUGCUCUGGAAUCAGGUCUGCUCAACAGAUUCUCUGUCUCUGUUCGUGACAUAAACACUAAAAGUCUGCUUUCUCUAGAUGGCGCUAUUAAUCAAGGUCUGAUUGACCCCGUGACGGGGAUGUAUAGGAAAAGUGAAGAUGAUGAAGUCAUGUUUAAGGAAGCACUAGAAAAAGGAUUAGUGUUUUCAGAUGUGUGUAUACUAGACAAGAGCUUGAUGGAUUCAGUGAAACAAGGUCUGUAUAAUCCCAGAACUUGUAAGUUCACUGACCCAUCAACAGGCAGAGUUCGCACUCUGAAAGAAAUGGUGAGAGAUGAAAAAGUGGAUCCACAGCUUGUGCUAGUGCUAGACAAGAGUGAAAAGCGGCUGCUGUCUUUCGAAGAGGCCAUUGAGGCAAAAGUGUUGGAUGUGAAGCGAGGCUUAGUUGUUGACACUGAAACCGGAGAAUUGCUAAACCUGAAAGAAGCCAUGGGGUGUGGCUUGUUGCAGGAAAACAUCAGUAGCAUCUCGGUAUCACUCAAACAGGCUGUUGACACAGGCCUACUGCACAAAAGCCAAGGAAGGAUUGUUGACCCAUUGUCACGCAAACAGUUGGUUGUAGAGGAUGCUAUCAGUGUGGGACUCAUUGAUGUCUCGUGCUUGUUGGUCAAGAAUCAGGACAAAGAAAGGUAUCAGUUUUUAGAAGAAUCUGCACAUGAUGGCAUUGUUUUCGUGGAUGAUGAUAGUAUUGUUUAUGCUAGAUCAGGAGUGGCAGUAGAUGUUGUCACAGCAUUUGAAAAGAACUUACUUAUUGAGAUUCCUCAGAAUGGAUUCCUGCUGGGUGAUAUUCUUUCAUCAGGUCUUUAUGAUGAGCAGAACAAGAGAUUCAAAGACCCUUUGACUGGAAAAAGUUUGACUCUUACUGAAGCUAUUAGUAGUGGUGUGAUAAAUGCAAAUCACCCCCAGGUGGUUGUUCCAAGUCUUGGGAAAUUUUCUCUCCAGCAAGCCAUCCAGAAAGGCAUUAUAGAUCCAAAUACUGGCGAUUAUAUUGCAUUGGACAAGCCACUGACGCUCUCAGAUGCCAUCUUGUCAGGUCGAGUUUCAGCACUAAGUAGGUCGACCUCAAACCUUACAGCCAGCAGCACCAAGCACUGUCAUUCCAUUGACAAAGGAACACUGAAGGCUUCAUUGAGCGAACCAAUCUUUGAUCUGCGAAAAAGAGAACCAUCCAAAACUGCUGCUAGUUUUCUUUCAUCGAAUGACAAAUUUGCUAAACAGGGGGAGACUUCAGGCACCUUGGAUUCAAUGGUAAGUCAUAAAUAUAGUGUUGAUGAAGAUGGGGAUGGUCAUGACAAAGCAGCUGACUAUGCACAAACAGCAAAGGUGAAGAACUUGAUAAAGAUGCAGAUGAAAAGGAUGAGUGAGUCUUUCAACGAACAGCUACAGGAAGACAGACAGGAUGGACCAACCAGCAUGCAGUCCUCGGUGCUUUCCUUAACCAGCAUGAGCAGCUCAUUUACAAGCAGCUCACUGUCCGUUGCUAAUCAACAAUCCAGAGAGGAAACAUACUACCAGGGUGACAGCACACCAGCCCUCACUGAGUCCAUUGUCAUCACACCUAACCAACCUUUGCACCUGCACAUGAAGUCUCAUUCGGCAGGCAAUCUGUUGGAUGCAGCAGCACUGAGUAAGCGACUGAGCAGGGAGAUGGAAGCUGCUUCCCCAAGCCUGGGGAACAUUCAUCAGAUCAUGAGGCCACAAGAAGCAUCCCAUUUAGACAUGGCAGACCUCCCGGGGUCACAUUGGGCACCCCCUGCAAAUGAGCUGUCAGCUUCACUGGAUUCUCUUAUUCUGGAUGCUAUUCGAAAACAGCAAAUUGAGCAGAAACCAAUGCCCCUUUAUGAUGUCAUACGAAAUGGUUUAUUUGAUGAUGACACAAACAUGUUUUGUGACCCAGAGACUGACAAGAUGAUGGAUUUGCUUGAGGCCGUGUCCACAGGACUGAUUGAUCCAUCUCACAAGGAGGUGAUCAAUCCUGUCACAAAACAGCCAGUCACACUAGCAGAUGCCAUGCAGACAGGGGUCAUUGAUGCUGCUUUAUGCAAAUUUGUAGAUGAAAGCACCGGAGCUCAUCUUUCUUUGCAGCAAGCCAUUGAUGUUGGCUUGAUUUUCAAAGAGAAAGAAAUAAGAAAAGCUCCAGUUGACAUAUUUGUUGAGGAAAUUUUACCUGACUCCACAUCUUCUGGCAGGAAAAAACUAGAAGAAGCAUUCAGCAAUGGCAUUUUGCACAGAUCCAAUUCUCAAGUGAUCGAUCCAGAUAGCAUAAAUGGCAUCACACUCAGGCGUGCCGCCAGUCUUGGCUUGAUAGACGUCAAGACUGGAGAUUUCAAGAAUCCUCAGACUGGCGAAUGCAUGUCCCUAGCUGUGGCAGUGGAGAAAGGGUUCAUACUGAGCCCUAAGGGUCUGACAUUGUAUGGUGCUGUAAAUCAAGGGUUGUACAUUGAUGCUACGGGCCUCUUCCAGCACCCAACCACAGGGGAGACAAAGACCUUACAGGAUUUAAUCAAUGAUGAUAUUGUGUCAUCACUGUGUCCAGAGGUUAAGGAUCUUGCUCAAGACAGUAUUGUAUCCCUUGCAGAAGGAAUUAAACGUGGCAUCAUUAAUGUUGAGAAAGGGCUUUAUAUUUGCAAGAACAAGGCCAAGACCUACAGUUUCAGGGAAGCUGUUGCUGCAGGCCUUAUAGUCAGUACAAGUGCUCGUGAAGGUCUUCCAGAAAUACAACAAAGGCCAAAGCUUUCCUUAUCAUCUGUCCCUUUCUGUGCAAUGAGCUUUGAUGAAAGCAAGGUCAUUAAAAAGGAACCUGGUGAUAGCAUCCAUAGUGUACCCUUCAGAAAGUCUCUCUCUGACCCAGGGCAAGGGGUCAUUCAGAGAGAUCGAAGGCACGAACAUCCUGCUUCCUCUAGUGCAAACCAUGAAGAGUCUGAAAAUGGAAGUAUUUGGAAGGCUUCUGAAAAACAAAAUGCAUCCAAAGAUGUGUGUCCCGAGAGUCUUCUGUCUAGCUGUAGUGAUAAAGACAAUACUGGGUAUACUGAAGGAAUCAAGGCUUUGCAAACUACACAAAAGAUUUUGCCAAAACUCAAAACAGAGGCAGCUGUAAGCCCUCAGAUUUCUCUAUUGACCUUUGAUCAAGAAAAUGAAGACCAGUCUAUGAUGAGAAUAUGCCAUCUACAGAAGAGGCUAACAGUUGAGUCUGAUGGUCUUUCAGGAAACCUGACACCCAGCUUUGAUGUAGCCCCAGAAGUAAUCACUUUGCCUGUAGUGGCUGAGUCUGAAAUUGUUGACAAGCUUGUAAAGCAUAGAAGAGAAGCAACUGAUACAUCUUUAGCUGCAGCCUAUACACAUCCAGAAGAUCACCAUCAUCCAGACACAAACUUCUCAGCAGUUGAUGUUCUCCAUGGUGCACAACACACAGGUAAAGAUGCAGUAGAAGAACUGUUGAAAGCCACUAGUGCUCGUGGAGCUGCUAGGGAAAAGUUGGACAAUGCCGACCAAAAUAACACUCAGGACACAAAGGCUAAACACAAACUGUAUGUGCUGUCGGAGGUUCAAAACUCAGUACCUACCACAUGCCCUUCUCAAAGCAGAGAAAGCUUGCAGAUUGCUAAUAAUACUACUUCUGGGCAAGACUUGAGUGUUACCAAGCCAUACACCACUAAAACAGAGAGAUUGUCACCAAGUGCAGAUCUGCCAGUGUUGACAAAUACAUACGGCAGACAUGAUGAACUUGGUCUAGAUGAAUCUUUGACAGAUGCCUCUCAAUUGCAAGGUCAAAGUGAGGUCUGGCCACUUUCAAGAGAUAUGCAGGGAGCAGACAGGUCUGGUGAGGUUUGGGUAGUUGGAAAAUCUUUGAAGGCCAAGGAGGAGAUGCAGAUGCACAGUGCUGUGUCUUCUGCCCUCAUGGACACAAGAGGCACAAUAACAUCUUAUGAGGAUGUAUUACUCAGCGACCCAAGGAAAGUUGAACAAGCACAGGACUUGCAGAUCAUAAACAGGUCUGAUAAAACAUUACCAUUGAGUAAGUCAUGGGUAGAUAAUUCCCCUCAAAGACAAGAUAAGGUUGUGAUUCCUUCAGUUUUAGUUAGUGCAGACAACCCUCCCAUGGUCUUGGGAUCAGUUGCACCAGAGUUUCAUGGAUCACAGAGUCAGAGGCAGGGAACAGUUUCCCUGCAGUUAGCACUUUUGCAACAGUCAAAAGACGACCUUCACAGUGUCUGUGGUGUAAAUGAAGAGCUGUCCAAUUCAAAAGUGCCAGAAGUGGAAGAGAGCAAAGGAUUUACACCAGAAGGGACUUCAGGCUCCAUUAGUUGGGUUAGGGAUAUUGGUGUCGGCAAACAUAUGGAGGUACGGCAUCUAGAUACUGGGCUUGAGCCAUCUGAAGAGGAAACAGGCAAAUUUCAUAUGUGGGAUCAAAGAACUCGUGCACAUAAUAAUUUACAAGACAUUUUCCUGCCAGGAGAAUAUUGUGAGAUGCAGGUCUUCAGUGGCAGACAAUCAGAAAUACCAGAACUGCAGCCAGGUAGUAAAUUAUCUCCAGAAACAAGAGUGUCAUCAUCUGUGAAGGAGGAAUUGACAGAACGCUCAAAACAGGAAGCAUCUGAUAAACUUUUACAUACCAAAUCCAGCUGUAGAACGAAACCUACUCAUAGAGUUCGCUUCAAAGAGCCAUAUCCGGAGGCUGAUGAAAUUGACAGCAUAGCUUCUACAGACACAACUGACACCACAGAAACAGAAGACAGCGACAGAUUGGGUCACACCCUUCGUGCAGCUGUUCAGAGCAAAGGCCUGGCCUUGGACAAAUCUCAGGGUUCAAUACAACCUGACAGCGAUGCCAGCACUCCAGAGGCUGAGGCUCAGCGCUUGACGGACAUACUUUUCAAACUCAAUCUGAAGACAGGCAGCACAGCCCGCGAACGACGCAAGGGGCGACUGGCAGAUUCCUUUGACAGUAUAGUGCAGGAGCUAAUGACAGAACAAGAACACCUUGGAGACCUUGAGCAGAUUCUUAAGCAUGACUCACAGAUGGGUGAUGAAGCAAGUAAAGUGAAGCUUCAACUCGAGGCUCAUAAGUCCACACAUGAGAAGAUACAGUCUCAACAGCAGCCCAUCUUGUCCUUGGUGUACAAGGCUGAGCAACUGACGGAGAACUACCAAGAAGAACUGACACCAGAGCAAGUGACCCAGCUGACUACACAGGCAUCACUCCUCAAAGCAACACUUGAAAAGGUCAGCAAGACAUCAGAGCGGAGGCUUAGCCACUUGACAAAGGCAGCAGAUGAGCUGGCCAAGUUUGAAGAGGAAUCAAAGAAGUUCAGAACAUGGAUGGGAGCAGCUUUCAGUGAACUGACCAACCAGGAGGACUACCUCAAACGUUUUGAGGAUCUGAAAGUCCUGGGAGAAAAGCACCGGGAGCUUGCAAGUGAUAUUAGCUCACAUCAGGCUGACCACCGCUUUAUGUCCAUGGCUGUCCAAAAAUACAUGGAAGAAGCCAAGCUUUACAAGUUGGAAAUGGACUCAUUUCGAGCUGACAGAGCCCGUCCAGCGAGACACAGCCUGAUCAGCAUGGAAUGUGUUGCUGCUGAUAAUGUCAAAGACAAGCUAACAGACCUUACAGAAGAAUACCAUGAUCUCAGCAAUCGCUGCAACCUCUUGGGUGAUCGUCUAGCAGAUCUUUCUGGCAAACACCGCCAGUUCAAUGAUGUGGCAUUCAAGCUUUUGACUUGGUUGACAGAUAUGGAAGGCCAGCUGUCAUCUGUGAAGCAGGAUGCUGGGUUAUCUGAACCACAACAGCUGCAGGUGCAUUUAGAUCGCCUGAAGUCACUCAGCAUGGAUGCACUGAGUCAGAAGCUGUUGCUGGAUGAGAUGCAGAAACGUGGCCAAGAUUUGACCAACAGCUUAAGUGGUCAGGCUGCUGAACAGCAACAGGUAGCCAAAUUGCAGAGCACCAUGAACGACCUCUCGGUUCGUUACAGUACCCUUACCAAAGAUAUCAAUUCUCAUGUGACACAACUGCAGGCAGCAGUGACUCAUUCACAGGACAUCACUCAGGCCAUGAAUGAACUUGUGUCAUGGAUGGACAGCGCCGAACAGGUAGUCACCACUCAGCUGCCUAUCUCUUUGCGGCGGCCUGAGCUUAAUGCUCAGCUACAAAGUUUUUCCGCUGUGGAUGCAGAUGUAACAAACCACCAGUCAGCUCUCGAUGCGGUGAAGGCACUGGCCAAUGAGCUGGUUAAAACCUGUGAGCUGGACAUCGCCAGAGCUGUGGAGCAGCGCUUGACCUCCCUGGAUGAGAAAUUCAGUAGUCUGCAAGCAAAGUGUAGACAGCGGGACAGAGAUCUUGAAGAGGUGGACAGCAGUCUGCGAGAGUUCCAGGAAAAGCUAGAGCAGACAAACUUAUGGGUGCACGAUGGCAUCUUGCAACUAGACUCUAAAGAACUCAGCAAGUUGUCCAGCGAUGACAUGAAGCAGCAGCUUGAGAAGCUUGCACGUGAGAAGCACAACCGACUGAGGACAAUUCAGGAGAUCCAGGUGGCAGCAGAACAGCUCCUUCAGGAUCCACGUACAGGAGAAGGAGAAGCAGUCAAGAAUCUGGUGUCUGAUCUAAAAAAGAACCUAGAAGCCUUCGAUAGCCUGCUAGCAGCCAAAGAAAAUGAGGCUAGUGACAAGGAACAACAGGGAGCAGACUUUGAGAAUGCUAAGACGAUUGCCUUACUUUGGUUAUCACAGAUGGAAGCCCGCCUAGAUGAGUUUCAGCCUGUGGCUAUUGAUGUUGGCAUUGUAGAACAGCAGAAGAUGGAAUUACAGCCUAUGCUUCAAGAAUAUGAAGACUAUGCUCCAAAAAUUGAUGAAGUAAAUGAUCUUGGAAAUGCGUAUGAGGCUAUGAUCAACCCUGGAGAUCGGCCUAUAAGUCCAAUCCGCCGCAUUGGACGCUCUCGCCGUUUGCCAGGCAUUUUGUCACCCAGACUUCGAUCACCAUCCCCCACUUUUCCCACUUCUCCCUCCACUCAGCGUGCCAGUCCUUUGUCCAGUGAAUCUAGUGGAGUCAGCAGCCGUAAAAGCUCAGCAGAUAAUUUACUGCUCGAUGAUCUAUCAGAAGUACAGCAGCAAUUGCUGGACAUCACUCAGCGAUACGAGAUUGUGGGUGAGCGUUUGGCAGACCGACAGCAGGAGCUGCAGUUGAUGCUGACCUCCAUCCGCACCUUCAUGCAAGACAUGCAGGAUAUACUUCAGUGGCUGGACCUCAAGGACCAUGAAACAGACUCAGCACAGCCCUUGCCCACAAAUGAAAAGGAUGCAAAGAAAAGACUGAAAGAGCAUGAGGUUUUCCACCGUGAGAUACUCAGCAAGGAAGGAUUGGUAGAGGAUAUUCGCAAGAAGGCUCAGGACUUGCUGAAAACGCGACAUGGUGUGCCAGGAGAGGAAAUGCUUCAGCAGCAGCUACAAGAACUUGAUGACAAGUGGCACGGACUGCGAGCUUUGUCAGAGCAGCAGCGUAAAGGCCUGGAAGACAUGGUCAGUGACCUCCGUGACAUGCGUGAGCAUGAACAGCAGCUAACACUGUGGCUUGCUCAGAAAGAUCGGAUGCUGGAUGUUCUUGGUCCUGUUGCCAUGGAGCCCAACAUGCUAGCAUCACAGAUGGAGCAAGUGAAGGUGCUGAGAGAAGAACUUUCUGCACAAGAACCCACUUAUGACCAUUUCCUGAACUGUGCACAUGGCAUUCUUGAACGCUGUGGCGACAAAUCGCAAGAUGGCAUUGCUGUUAGCCGCAGACUGGACACUGUCAGCAAAGCCUGGAAUAAGCUGCAGUCACGCUUAAACGAGCGUUCUAAGAACCUCAGCUCAGUGGAGGGCAUCAGCGUCGAGUUUGCAUCUCUCACUAGAGGGCUUGCAGACUGGCUAUCUGAUUUCAGUGACAAAUUAGAUGGACAGGGGAAAGUUAGCUCGCAACCUGAUAAACAGCACAAACAACUACAAGAAUUGAAGCAACUUGAAUCAGAACUGAUUGUCCAGCAGCCUCGGCUGGCACGGGCACGUGACCUCUGUCGACAGCUUUGUGACAAAGCUAAAGAUGCUUCCACAAAAACAGACCUCCGCAGCAAACUGACUGCCUUAGAAAAAGAUAUGAACGACACAACCAGAAAACUUGAGAUUUGCAAGGCCGCUGUGGAGGAGGCCAGUCAGCAGGCUGAGAAAUUUGAAGCAGACUGCAAAGAAUUGUUGACGUGGAUCAGCGAGGCUGCAAAUAACCUGCAAGAGUCAGAACCCCUCUCCAGUGAUCUAGAUAUCCUCAGAGAGCAGAUGCGCCAGAACAGGACAUUGCAGCAGGAACUUUCCCUGAAAGAACCCGAGAUUCGCCAACUGCUGGAGAAGGGAGAUAAACUUGUGAAAGAGUCUUCUCCCACGACAGAAGUGAGAGCAAUAGCAGAUAAAGUGGGUGAACUUCAGGGUGAGUGGACACGCCUUCAACAAGAGGUGACUGUCCAAGAUUCGCGCCUAACCAUGGCAGGCAGUCAUGCUCAGCAGUUCACAGAGCGUUUGGACAAGAUGGCCAUGUGGCUGCAGAUGACUGAAGAGAAACUGGAAAAAAUGAAACCCGAAGAUGUCGACCAAAAUACUGUAGUCCAUAAACUGAAAGAACUUCAGGGGGUGCAGAAUGAAAUGAUGAAGAAAUCUCAUGACCGUGAAAGACUGAAUAGUGAAGGUACUUCUCUCGUGGAAUGUGUAGACAGUGGCAAAGAAGCCAUUAAGCAACAAGUUGCCGUCAUCAACGAACGCUGGGAUGCAGUUAACAAGGCACUUUCAGAGAGAGCAAGCCAUUUGGAAGACUUGGGCCAGCGCCUUGGAGAGGUACAGGACAGUCUAGCGGAAGCCACCAGUGCAUUGAACAAGUGGGAAAACAAACUUGCUGUGCACAACAGUCUAGGUCUUUCUGCAAAAGACCCUAAACACAUCAACAGAAUCAAAGACCUUCUUGAAGACACAGGCUGGCUAGCAUCACAGCUGAAUAACACGGAAACCAUGCUGAAUAGCAUCGAAGUUGACGGCGGAGAAACCAGCAACCUCAGAGAUGAACUUAACAAGCUCCGUGGCCAGCACCAGACAUUGCAGGGAGAACUCUCAGAGCUGGUGGCAGAAAUGGAAACGGGGGCACAAAUUGUAGAACAGUUUCAGGGCCUGCUGAAGAUUGUGGGUGGCCAGUUUUUGGAGUUAGAAUCAGAACUUGGCAGCAAGACUCCAGUGUCCAGAGAUGAUGCAGAGCUGGGCAGUCAACUAGCAGACAUGAAGGAUUUCCUGACACGGCUUGGGGAAAAAGUGGAGACUCUAAAAGAUCUUGAGCAGCAAGCCAGUAGCCUUUGUAAUGCGGGUUAUGUGUCGGAUCCAGAACUACUAAAAUCACAAGUUGAAGCACUAAGCAACCAGCAUGCUAGUCUGACAGAGCGUGCCACACAGCGCCAGAGUGAUGUGGUAGCUAAUCAGCACAGCAUACAACAUUUGACUCAGGCCCUGAAUCUUGUAUGGGGUGACAUAGACAAAGCCUCCAGCACUCUGGAUGCCAUGGGUCCUGCAGGAGGAAAUGUGACAACAGUCAAAGCUCUGCAGGAGGAGCUCAAGGGUUUUGUUAAGUCCACCAUGGAACCCCUGCAGAAGCAAUUUGAGAGUGUAAGCAGGCAAGGACAAGCACUUAUCAAGACUGCUGUGGCUGGCUCAAAUACCACAGGGUUGGAGACAGACCUUGAGUCUCUGGCUGAAAGGUGGGCAGGGCUUGUUGAAAAGGUUGCUGAGCAUGAGAAGAAUCUGGACAGCGCUCUUCUUCGAACAGGCAAAUUUCAGGAUGCAAUGGCCUCUUUGCUGGACUGGCUUGCAGAGACUGAAGAGCUGGUAGCUAUGCAGAAGGCACCAUCACCUGAACAACGUGUUGUCAGAGCCCAGCUUCAAGAACAAAAACUGGUGCAGAAAAUGGUGACUGACCGCACUCCCAGCAUGAAGGCUGUUCAAGACUCGGGCAACCAGUUGAUCACUGGUCUGGACCCUGCUGAGCGCAAACACAUUGAAAGUGAACUCCAGCAACUAAACAGCAGGUGGGAGGCGCUAACCAAGCGAGUAGUUGAUCGGACAGCCAUUUUGGAGGAGGUGCAAGGGUUAGCUGGGGAGUUCCAGGAUGUCCUUGACCCACUGACCACAUGGCUUGAUGCUGCUAACAAAAGGUUUACAGCCCUGGAACCUCAUUCACCUGAUGCGGAGGGCAUUGAACAUCUUAUUCAAGAACUUAAAGUAAAAACUUCAAAAAGAGGUGAACGAGCAUGAGCCCGCUAUGAAACAACUGGCAACAGCUGGCAAGAAGUUGCAAGAUUAUUGCAAAGGAGAAGAUGUGAUAAUGAUCCAGUUAAAGAUAGAUGGGGUUCAGAAACAAAAUGGUGAGCUGCGUUCACACAUUGAAGACUGCCUUGAACAGAUGGAAGAAGCACUUCCUCUUGCAAAGCACUUCCAAGAAGCCCAU
rnacentral:misc_RNA from 1 species